rnacentral:rRNA from 1 species
GGCGAGCGAACGGGGGUGAGCCCAAACCGUAGAUGUGCCAAGGAUGCAGCCGUUGCAUCUACGGGGUAGCGGGAAGAUCGUCUGAAGAACUGCAAGGUAUUCGACAUUAUGAUACGCCGAACUGGAAGGGUCUGGAAAGGCCUGCCGUAGAGAGUGAAAGCCUCGUACAGGUAAACCGUAUCAAAUGUAUGAUCUCUCCCAAGUAGCACGGAACACGAGGAAUUCUGUGUGAAUCUGCGAGGACCAUAUCUCGUA